GACGAACGCUGGCGGCGUGCUUAACACAUGCAAGUCGAACGGAAAGGCCCUGCUUUUGUGGUGUGCUCGAGUGGCGAACGGGUGAGUAACACGUGAGUAACCUGCCCUUGACUUUGGGAUAACUUCAGGAAACUGGGGCUAAUACCGGAUAUGAUCUCCUGCUGCAUGGUGGGGGUUGGAAAGUUCCGGCGGUUGGGGAUGGACUCGCGGCUUAUCAGCUUGUUUGUGGGGUAGUGGCUUACCAAGGCUUUGACGGGUAGCCGGCCUGAGAGGGUGACCGGCCACAUUGGGACUGAGAUACGGCACAGACUCAUACGGGAGGCAGCAGUGGGGAAUAUUGCACAAUGGGCGGAAGCCUGAUGCAGCGACGCCGCGUGGGGGAUGACGGCAUUCGGGUUGUAAAGCGAUUUCGCAUGUGACGAAGAGUGAGUGACGGUAAUGGGUAAAGAAGCACCGGCUAACUACGUG
rnacentral:rRNA from 1 species